UACGAAGGGGGCUAGCGUUGUUCGGAAUUACUGGGCGUAAAGCGCGCGCAGGCGGCUAUCCAAGUCAGUGGUGAAAGCCCGGAGCUCAACUCCGGAACUGCCAUUGAAACUGUUUAGCUUGAGGACGAGAGAGGUGAGUGGAAUUCCCAGUGUAGAGGUGAAAUUCGUAGAUAUUGGGAAGAACACCGGUGGCGAAGGCGGCUCACUGGCUCGUUUCUGACGCUGAGGCGCGAAAGCGUGGGGAGCAAACAGG
rnacentral:rRNA from 1 species